rnacentral:rRNA from 1 species
AGGGUUUGAUUAUGGCUCAGGAUGAACGCUGGCGGCGCGCCUAACACAUGCAAGUCGAACGGACGAUGAAGAGCUUGCUUUUCAAAGUUAGUGGCGGACGGGUGAGUAACGCGUGGGUAACCUGCCUCAUACAGGGGAAUAGCAGCUGGAAACGGCUGAUAAAACCGCAUAAGCGCACAGUGCCGCAUGGCACAGUGUGAAAAACUCCGGUGGUAUGAGAUGGACCCGCGUCUGAUUAGCUUGUUGGCGGGGUAACGGCCCACCAAGGCGACGAUCAGUAGCCGGCCUGAGAGGGUGAUCGGCCACAUUGGGACUGAGACACGGCCCAA